UUACGGUAGCGGGUCAUUCUGAACUCCACACAGUUUAAACCUGAGGAAUUGAUGAUAUCUCCCUGUCGAUUUGGAGGGGCAAGUUUGCUUGCCUGGUUGUUUGUUUCCAGUUUACUCGCUGUUGCUUCGGGAAGACUCGAGGAUUAAUAAGACUGAGGCUGUUUCUGGUGUUUCAGACAGGAUAGACCUGAAGCAACGUUUACAAUGAUUUAUGUCAGCGAACGUGCACUCGACAGGAUGUUAUCUUUGAUACUUCUAGUAAUAGUGGUUCUGUCCUGGGGAUAUGUCAUCUAUGCAACAAGAAUCGCAGCAAAGUGGCAACUGGAAAAGCAAUUCAAGACCACAAACUGAACUCUCAAUUUGGAACUGAAUGUAAACAUGAAUGAAACCAGAUGCAUCAGAAAGCUUGUGUCAGAAACUCGGAUGUUUAAAACAACAACAACAAUAAAAAAGUGAUUUUACAAUUUAUGCUCAACUGAUCCUUUUUCAUUAAAUAUGGUUUAAUCAAAAUAUAUAUGGAAAAUGAUAUUGUAAAUAGUGUGCAUGUAAAAUAAAACUAUUUAAAAAAUAA